AAAGAUGUAGUAUAAAAGAAUACAUUUCAUUUACACUGAAAAUAUAUUUAAGCAAUAAAUCAUCUUUA
rnacentral:tRNA from 1 species